rnacentral:lncRNA from 9 species
GACUGAACUCAGCAGAGAGUGAUUGAUUGACUAAGAUCCUUAUUAGUUCCCAGCAGGUGGGUUCUCACGGAGAAAACCCAUGCUGGUCAUCAGCACUCAGAGGCCAAAUUGCAAGUUCUCUGCUGGGUGACCAGAGAACAUGAGCCAGGGCAACUGGAUGUUCUUUCAGAGAAUUACUUUCCAGCUCCAGUUGCUUGAUGAAUUACCUUUCUCCACUGGAGGGAUAUUUUAGUCUGAAAAAUCAGGACAGGUCAUCUGAAGUCAGAUCACGCUCUCUUCAGGCAGUGAUAGAGGAAAUCUUUCAAAGUCUUAGUCUCCUGUGUUCCUUUCUCAAUAUUCCUUAUCCAUUGCCUUAUCUUCCAAAAGCCAUUGCCAUUAUGUGAUCUCAUGUUACAACUUCCCAGAUUACCACUUGUUCUACAUUAGCUACAUCUGUGACAGAGACUUCCCAGAAUACGGGCAAGGAGAGCCAUCUUCCAAUCACAAUGACUUAUGGCUUACGGCUCCAAGCCAUCAUGUUUUCAUUCUUGUAGCUUCAGUUUCCCAGAAUGGCAUUGCUUAACCUUGUUCUCCAAAGGAGGCAGCUAGAAGGUAAUGGAAAGAGACCGGACACCAAAACUGGAAGAACUGGACCUCCAGUCUGCAGAUCGCCAGCCCACUGCAUGGAGUUCACUGCCCUGGACCAGAAGGCAAGGAGGAGCUGAUCAUCCCUAUCUCCGAGUCACUUCCGCAACCUAUACAAUCCACCAUUGUGCUGAAGGGAGCCUGGGCUCCCCCUCCUAUUUCACACCCUCUCUGCCCUGCUGGACAAUAAGCGAAACCAAAGUAGCAACCAUGCUCUGAUCAUCAGUGAUCUCCACACCCAGCACAGCCCUAGCCCAUAUCAGAGGCUUCAUUAUUGAGUGAAUGAAUGAAGCAAUGAAGGAAGAGGAGGAAAGAAAUACUCAGUGAAUUCUACGUCAACUGAAGUCAACUCCUGCAGAACCCAACCAAGGACACCAAGAGAAAAGAGAUCAGAAGCAGGGUACAGGAAUUCCCAUCGUGGCUCAGUGGUUAAUGAACCCAACUAGUAUCCAUGAGGAUGUGGGUUCGAUCCCUGGCCUCAAUCAGUUGGUUAAGGAUCCGGCGUUGCUGUGAGCUGUAGUGUAGAUCACAGGCUCAGAUCAGAUCCCUCGUUGAUGUGGCUGUGGUGUAGGCCUGCAGCUACAGCUCCAAUUUGACCCCUAGCCUGGGAUACAUGCCUCCAGUGUGGCCCUAAAAAGACAGAGAAAAAAAAAAAGGCAAAUAAUGUGUCAGUACCGAGCCUCAUGAAAGUGUUUCAGAGAAAUCCCCACCCCACACCCAGGGUUUCUGGAACCACACUUUGAGAACUGCUGAAUUAAGAUAUAGAUCAUGUGGGAGUUCCUGCUGUGGCACAGUGGGUUAAGAAUCUAACUGCAGUGGCUUGGGUUACAGCUGAGGCUCAGAUUGUGUACAUGGCCUGGGAAUUUCCA